GUGCAUCUACUUGCCAGGCCUGGAGCAGUUACCGUCUGCUGCUGAGGUUUCCACUACAGAUGCAAGAAAAAAGUAUCCUCGCGCUUUCUGUCUUUCUGAUUGUGGCAGACAAGAUUGAACAGGGGAAUUCUGUA
ensembl:snoRNA